CUCCUGGCGGCGCGCGCCCGCCGGCCUCAACCUGUCAGCGGGCAUGCGCUCGGGGCCGCGCACGGGAACGACCCUCGUCCACUAGGAGCUGGAAGGGAGUGAAGAAGGCGGAGGUUUGCUGAAUCUCUCCUCGCCCUCGCGAGUGAAAAUCUCUGCGCCUCAGAGCCGUGAUGAGCUCGGGAUAAGCACAGGCGGCAAAGCCAGACCUGCAGGCCGCGGUGGAACCCUCACAGAGUAGCAAACACGAACGAAUGAGCCCCCUGAUGUUUGGAUCCCAGACCAAGUGUGGACUCCUUCCUACUGUUUUAUUUGCUGGAGUCAAGAAUCACGUGUCAACACAGGGCUUCUAGUGAAUUUAGUCUUGUAUCCUAUUGAAGAUCCUGGAAGAGGUCUGCCUCUAACUGAAGCUGGGGACUUCAAUGAUGUGAUAGGACAAGUAAUGACACACCAAGGACAUCCACAUCUUAACUCCUGGAACCUGAGAACAUGUUACAUGGUGAUAUGUUACUGGCCUUGAAGAUGGAAGAUGAGUCAUGACCAGGAAUGUGGGCUAGAAAAAGCAAGGACACUGACUUUUCCCUUAGAUCCUCUAGGAAUCCAGCCCUGCUGACAUGGGGAUUUUAGCUCACUGAGACUGAGUUUUUGUUUCAAAUGAGGCUUCUUUUCUAACACAGUUUGUUGAAGUAACUAUCCUCUCUUGAUUGAAUUAGUGUGGAAAUUUUGUUAAAAAUUAACUGACCAUAUACAUGUGGUUGUAUUUAUGGACAAUAUUCCAUUCCCACUGCUCUGUGUGUCUGUCCUUUCACCAAUACCAUACUGUCUUGAUCCCUACAGCUGUGUAGUGAGUGUUGAAGUCAGAGAAUAAAUGCUUAAAAUUUGUUCUUUUUGCAAAGAAUUUGGUUAGAUUAUUUUAAGCCAUUGAUACUUCUGUUUAAAUCUCAGCACCAUCUUGUCUGUUUUUGUUUAUCAGAAAGCUCCCUGAUACUUAACUGCAAUUAGAAUAGCAUUGAGACUAUGUACCAAUUAGGAAAGACUUGACCUCUUACU
rnacentral:lncRNA from 1 species